GGCUGGUCUGAAGAUAGUGUGCUAAUUCAAUCAAUUGUUCACAGUUACAAAUCGAACUCCUUGUUCUACUCUUUCCCCUCUUCUCACUAAUACACUUGACUAGUCUUUU
rnacentral:Y_RNA from 1 species